rnacentral:rRNA from 1 species
GGUUAAGCGACUAAGCGUACACGGUGGAUGCCCUGGCAGUCAGAGGCGAUGAAGGGCGUGCUAAUCUGCGAUAAGCGCCGGUAAGGUGAUAUGAACCGUUAUAACCGGCGAUACCCGAAUGGGGAAACCCAGUGUGACUCGUCACACUAUCAUUAACUGAAUCCAUGGGGAAACCCAGUGUGACUCGUCACACUAUCAUUAACUGAAUCC